rnacentral:snoRNA from 1 species
AUUGGAUUAUGUGGACAUUGUAUUUGUAACUGCCCAAAUCUUUCCCAUGCUUCAAAGAAUUCUUCCAUGUGUUUUUGUGUAAAAGUUUGGAUUUUGUUUCUUAACUCU